AGCUCGGAGGGAGGUUGGCGGGGGAGGGGGAGAAGGAGCGAAAGAGGCGGGACCUGGGGAGGGGGCGGGUAGCGGGUGGCUGGAGCAUGCGCGGGAGAGCUGGCGCGUGCCACGCGCCCCCGGUCCAGCCAGCUUCUCGUCCGCAAUGUCCCAGUUUUUUGUGGGGUUUUUUUUUUUCCCCUGAGCCUGGGGAGUGGCCGCUGCCUGGGCCCCGCCCCACUCCCAGGCUCCUGGAGAUGGGGGUUGGGCUCCAUGUGUUUCCGCUAGGCGGGGAUCCUGGGCAGUGGGACCGCGCCGAGGUCCUCCGCGGCGGUCCCGGCGGCGACGGCACGCUUUCCUGUAGGAGCUGUGCGGCCGUCUGGUUGUGCGCGGGAGAAGACCCCAGAGUGCGGCCCUAGUCUACAAGGUGCCUUCCUGUACAGGAGAGGCUAGAACACCAAAACCCGCCAUCCUGGCUCCUUCGCAGGCCCAACUCUGGAUGUGAGAUGGCCUCUGUCAGCUAGACACACUCAGUUCAAGAAACCGAGGCACAGAAGUUAAGUAACUUGCUGAAUGUCUCCCAGAGAUGACAAGCAGGCAGAGAGAGAGAGGGGGAAUCAGGCUCCCCACUGAGCAGAGAGCCCGACGACGUGGGGCUCAAUCCCAGGACCCCAGGAUCAUGACCUGAGCCGAAGGCAGAGGCUUUAACCUGCUAAGCCACCCAGGCGCCCCUGACUCUAACACUCUUAAAGACUCAUGAUUAAGGCUUUGAAAUUCAUUGGAUGUGGAUCUGAGUUCAGGAUUCAACGAUCAGGUUUAUGUAUGCAUUCAAAAAGUACUCGGGAUAAACUGAUGAACAUGUCAGAAAAUGUCCUAUCCCAGUGAAGCUUGCAUUACUGUGGAGAAUAACAAUAAUAAUAAAGAUGGGAAGUAAUAAUUUA